rnacentral:tRNA from 1 species
GGUUGGGUGGCUUAGUGGUUAGAGCCUAGGACUUGUGACCGGAAAGUCCCGGUUCGAACCUCGCCAAAGGCA